GUGGAUUAGAUACCCUGGUAGUCCACGCCCUAAACGAUGCACACUAGUUGUUGUGAGGCUAGACCUUGCAGUAAUGCAGUUAACACAUUAAGUGUGCCGCCUGGGGAGUACGGUCGCAAGAUUAAAACUCAAAGGAAUAGACGGGGACCCGCACAAGCGGUGGAGCAUGUGGUUUAAUUCGACGAUACACGAAGAACCUUACCUGGACUUGACAUAGUAAGAACUUUCUAGAGAUAGAUUGGUGUCUGCUUGCAGAAACUUAUAUACAGGUGCUGCAUGGUUGUCGCCAGCU
rnacentral:rRNA from 1 species